AAAGGGCCGCGGUAAUUUGACCGUGCGAAGGUAGCAUAAUCAUUUGUCCUUUAAUUGGGGGCUGGAAUGAAAGGUUGGAUGAGGGGUCAAAUGUCUCUGUGUUAUAAUUAAAAUUUUACCUUUGAGUGAAAAGGCUCAAAUUUAAUUAAGUGAAGAUAAGACCCUAUAAAACUUAUAUAAAAGUAGGGCACAUCGUGUUUAAAAAUGUUCAAAACCAGGUGACUUGGAUUAUAUUUUGUUGGGGCGACAAUAAUAGAAGAACAAGUAUCUGUUGUUUUUAAUAAGUUAGUGAUAGUUAAGAGGUGAGCCUUCCAUAGGGAUCAGAAGACCAAGUUACUUUAGGGAUAACAGCGUAAUUUUCUUUGAGAGACCUAAUCGACAAGAGUAGUUGCGACCUCGAUGUUGAAUUAAAAUUUCUAUAAAGUGCAGAAGCUUUAUUAGUGAGUCUGUUCGACUCUUAAAAUUUUACAUGAUUU
rnacentral:rRNA from 1 species